rnacentral:rRNA from 1 species
CUAACACAUGCAAGUCGAGCGAGAAAUCAUAAAAUGAAACUUCGGUAGAUUUUUAAGAUGGAAAGCGGCGGACGGGUGAGUAACGCGUAGGCAACCUGCCUUAUGCAGAGGGAUAGCCAUUGGAAACGAUGAUUAAAACCUCAUAACGCCGGAGAGUCACAUGGUUUUCCGGCCAAAGAUUUAUCGGCAUAAGAUGGGCCUGCGUCUGAUUAGUUAGUUGGUGGGGUAACGGCCUACCAAGGCGACGAUCAGUAGCCGACCUGAGAGGGUGAUCGGCCACAUUGGAACUGAGACACGGUCCAAACUCCUACGGGAGGCAGCAGUGGGGAAUAUUGCACAAUGGGCGAAAGCCUGAUGCAGCAACGCCGCGUGAAGGAAGAAGGCCUUCGGGUCGUAAACUUCUGUCCUAUGGGAAGAAAAAAAUGACGGUACCAUAGGAGGAAGCCCCGGCUAACUACGUGCCAGCAGCCGCGGUAAUACGUAGGGGGCGAGCGUUAUCCGGAAUUAUUGGGCGUAAAGAGUGCGUAGGUGGUAACUUAAGCGCGGGGUUUAAGGCAAUGGCUUAACCAUUGUUCGCCCUGCGAACUGGGAUACUUGAGUGCAGGAGAGGAAAGCGGAAUUCCUAGUGUAGCGGUGAAAUGCGUAGAUAUUAGGAGGAACACCAGUGGCGAAGGCGGCUUUCUGGACUGAAACUGACACUG